GACGAACGCUGGCGGCGUGCUUAACACAUGCAAGUCGAACGGAAAGGCCCUGCUUUUGUGGGGUGCUCGAGUGGCGAACGGGUGAGUAACACGUGAGUAACCUGCCCUUGACUUUGGGAUAACUUUAGGAAACUGGGGCUAAUACCGGAUAGGAGCUCCUGCUGCAUGGUGGGGGUUGGAAAGUUUCGGCGGUUGGGGAUGGACUCGCGGCUUAUCAGCUUGUUGGUGGGGUAGUGGCUUACCAAGGCUUUGACGGGUAGCCGGCCUGAGAGGGUGACCGGCCACAUUGGGACUGGGGUACGGCCCAGACUCCUACGGGAGGCAGCAGUGGGGACUAUUGAACGAUGGGCGGAAGACUGAUGCAGCAACGCAGCGUGCGGGAUGACGGCCUUAGGGUUGUAAACCGCUUUCGACUGUGACGAAGCGUGAGUGACGGUAAUGGGUAAAGAAGCACCGGCUAACUACGUG
rnacentral:rRNA from 1 species